GGAGGCGGCGGAGGAGGACCAGCCUGCUUCCAGGCAGCGCACGGAUCAGCCGAGCGCCGGCGCCGCGCUGUCAGGCACUUCCCCGGCUGCCGGCGGCGGUCUCCGGAUCAGUGGAUGUAAGGUUUUUGUGGAGAAAACAGAAGAUCAAGGAAGAGUUCGAACGUCGGAGGGCGGACAGGUGGUCGAGUGCUGGACGAGCCACUGGUAGGUGCUCUUUCUAAAGGAGCAACAAGGAGACAUUACUGUUCCACCACUGAAAGGGAGAGUCAGCAUUGCAGCAAACUCAAAGUGAAUCCUACGGAGAAGAACAGUCUGGUCUGCAAGGAAGGAACAUAACCAAG